rnacentral:lncRNA from 1 species
CACAAUACUCCUUUGGCAGCCACGUUUCUUCUUUUCUCCCCAACUCUUCUCUCUCCUUCACCGUCUCUCUACCUCACCGUCUCUCUCUCAUCAUCUCUCUCUUUCUCUCUAUCUUCCUCUCUUCUCUCUCUCUCUCUAUAUUGAUUCUUGGCUGAAAUACCCAAUUCAUAUUAUCAGCAUAAUCGGGGCUGCGUGGAUGCUUUAGCAAAGGGUAUUAAUGAUCAGCUCAUAUGAUUAGAAAUAUUGGGAAGUCAGAUUUAAAGUGGUGGUGGUCUCCAGCAGCAGUCGCCGGCGGUGGUGGCUGGAAUCCGACAAAGAAGAUAAGCUGUCCAAAAUCUGAAUUUCAGCUUUUGGUCCUUUGAAGAAUUAAUUGCUCGGAGGCCUUAAAGGUUGAAUAUUGACGAUCAGGACACACGGUUAGAAACCUCGAGAUGUUAGCUUUCCAUUGGUGUUGGAGCUCGGUAGUAUUAAUCGGCGGUGGUUGCCGGAAUUGGGCGAGAAGUUCAGCCUGCUCGCUGGACUUAUAAUGAAAUCUGCUGCCGCACCUGUUUUCGGAGCCAAAAUCGAAGGGUUUGGAGUAAGAAUUUG